rnacentral:rRNA from 1 species
GAUGAACGCUAGCGGCAGGCUUAAUACAUGCAAGUCGAACGGGAUUUGAGUAGCAAUAUUCAAUGAGAGUGGCGCACGGGUGCGUAACGCGUAUGCAACCUACCUUUAACAGGGGGAUAGCCCGGAGAAAUCCGGAUUAAUACCCCAUAGAAUAUAAUUGUGGCCUCACAUUUAUAUUAAAGCUCCGGUGGUUAAAGAUGGGCAUGCGUGCCAUUAGCUAGUUGGUGAGGUAACGGCUCACCAAGGCGACGAUGGCUAGGGGUCCUGAGAGGGUUAUCCCCCACACUGGUACUGAGACACGGACCAGACUCCUACGGGAGGCAGCAGUAAGGAAUAUUGGGCAAUGGACGCAAGUCUGACCCAGCCAUGCCGCGUGCAGGAAGACGGCCUUAUGGGUUGUAAACUGCUUUUAUCAGGGAAUAAACCCUUGUUUGUAAACAAGGCUGAAGGUACCUGAAGAAUAAGCAUCGGCUAACUCCGUGCCAGCAGCCGCGGUAGAGU